ACCUAGAGACCGGCGCACGGGUGCGUAACGCGUAUGCAAUCUACCUUUUACAGAGGGAUAGCCCAGAGAAAUUUGGAUUAAUACCUCAUAGUAUUAUUGAAUGGCAUCAUUUAAUAAUUAAAGUCACAACGGUAAAAGAUGAGCAUGCGUCCCAUUAGCUAGUUGGUAAGGUAACGGCUUACCAAGGCAACGAUGGGUAGGGGUCCUGAGAGGGAGAUCCCCCACACUGGUACUGAGACACGGACCAGACUCCUACGGGAGGCAGCAGUGAGGAAUAUUGGUCAAUGGGCGCAAGCCUGAACCAGCCAUGCCGCGUGCAGGAUGAAGCAUCUAUGGUGUGUAAACUGCUUUUGUACGAGAAGAAACACUCCUACGUGUAGGAGCUUGACGGUAUCGUAAGAAUAAGGACCGGCUAACUCCGUGCCAGCAGCCGCGGUAAUACGGAGGGUCCAAGCGUUAUCCGGAAUCAUUGGGUUUAAAGGGUCUGUAGGCGGUUUUGUAAGUCAGUGGUGAAAGCCCAUCGCUCAACGGUGGAACGGCCAUUGAUACUGCAAGACUUGAAUUAUUGGGAAUUAACC
rnacentral:rRNA from 1 species